rnacentral:rRNA from 1 species
ACGCUGGCGGCAUGCCUUACACAUGCAAGUCGAACGGCAGCGCGGGGCAACCUGGCGGCGAGUGGCGAACGGGUGAGUAAUAUAUCGGAACGUACCCUGGAGUGGGGGAUAACGUAGCGAAAGUUACGCUAAUACCGCAUACGAUCUAAGGAUGAAAGUGGGGGACUCGCAAGAGCCUCAUGCUCCUGGAGCGGCCGAUAUCUGAUUAGCUAGUUGGUAGGGUAAAAGCCUACCAAGGCUUCGAUCAGUAGCUGGUCUGAGAGGACGACCAGCCACACUGGAACUGAGACACGGUCCAGACUCCUACGGGAGGCAGCAGUGGGGAAUUUUGGACAAUGGGCGCAAGCCUGAUCCAGCAAUGCCGCGUGAGUGAAGAAGGCCUUCGGGUUGUAAAGCUCUUUUGUCAGGGAAGAAACGGUGAGAGCUAAUAUCUCUUGCUAAUGACGGUACCUGAAGAAUAAGCACCGGCUAACUACGUGCCAGCAGCCGCGGUAAUACGUAGGGUGCAAGCGUUAAUCGGAAUUACUGGGCGUAAAGCGUGCGCAGGCGGUUUUGUAAGUUUGUCGUGAAAGCCCCGGGCUCAACCUGGGAAUUGCGAUGAAGACUGCAAGGCUUGAAUCUGGCAGAGGGGGGUAGAAUUCCACGUGUAGCAGUGAAAUGCGUAGAGAUGUGGAGGAACACCGAUGGCGAAGGCAGCCCCCUGGGUCAAGAUUGACGCUCAUGCACGAAAGCGUGGGGAGCAAAC